rnacentral:rRNA from 1 species
UACGUAGGGUGCGAGCGUUAAUCGGAAUUACUGGGCGUAAAGCGUGCGCAGGCGGUUUUGUAAGUCUGACGUGAAAGCCCCGGGCUUAACCUGGGAAUUGCGUUGGAGACUGCAAGGCUUGAAUCUGGCAGAGGGGGGUAGAAUUCCACGUGUAGCAGUGAAAUGCGUAAAGAUGUGGAGGAACACCGAUGGCGAAGGCAGCCCCUGGGUCAAGAUUGACGCUCAUGCACGAAAGGCGUGGGG